rnacentral:rRNA from 1 species
GAUGAACGCUGGCGGCGUGCCUAAUACAUGCAAGUCGAGCGAACGGACGAGAAGCUUGCUUCUCUGAUGUUAGCGGCGGACGGGUGAGUAACACGUGGAUAACCUACCUAUAAGACUGGGAUAACUUCGGGAAACCGGAGCUAAUACCGGUUAAUAUUUUGAACCGCAUGGUUCAAAAGUGAAAGACGGUCUUGCUGUCACUUAUAGAUGGAUCCGCGCUGCAUUAGCUAGUUGGUAAGGUAACGGCUUACCAAGGCAACGAUGCAUAGCCGACCUGAGAGGGUGAUCGGCCACACUGGAACUGAGACACGGUCCAGACUCCUACGGGAGGCAGCAGUAGGGAAUCUUCCGCAAUGGGCGAAAGCCUUACGGAGGAACGCCGCGUGAGUGAUGAAGGUCUUCGGAUCGUAAAACUCUGUUAUUAGGGAAGAACAUAUGUGUAAGUAACUGUGCACAUCUUGACGGUACCUAAUCAGAAAGCCACGGCUAACUACGUG